AACCUCGGACUUAAGUUGUUGAAUUGAAGCAUUAGAUGACUCUACCAUAUUCUUGGCCGCUUCAGAUUCUGCAACGACUUGCUCUAAAACUUCACCCUUUUGUUUAUUCUGUUUUUGCAAUGCAUUAAGCGUGGCUUCCAAAAUUGAGUACUCCCGAUUAACUUGCUCAGUUUGAGCUUUAUUAGUUUCAAUGUCCAAACUGAUCUGCUUGGCUUUUGCUAGUUCCUCAUCAUAGGCCUUUCGUAUUUCACUGACCUUGGCUUUGACAUCGCUUAAGUUUGCGGCAACAUCGCGAGAUGACUUUUGUAAAUCAUCAUUAGAUUUCUUUACUUGGGAUAAUUGCGAUUCUAACUUGGGUACCUCUGCAGCUAAUUUUAGUUGUUCGGCAGACGCAACCUGAGGAAUAGGGGCAGCAAGUUGUGAGGGAACAGAAGUUCGAACUGCUGAAGGUUUGUCCAUGGUGUUUUUGGCAAUCGUCUGCCCAAAACUGGAUUGAGGAAAGAAUGUUGAUGUAGGGGAAUUAGGUUUAGCAGCUGGAGAAGUGGGAAACCCUGGAGUAUGGUUAAGUUGGAGAGGUGAAACAACAGGGAACGGUGCACUUUUAGUUACUGGGGGGGCUGAAUGCUUUGUAGCAUUCGAAGAUGUAUGUUGAGGAGCAAGGGUAGGAGAGAAAGGAGUAGCAUCCAAGCUUAGUAAAUCCUCAGUUCCUGAAGUUACUCGGGAUGGGCCCGUAGGAUUAGGAGCCAACGUAGGGUUGGGAUUAGGAGACGAAAUAUUAGCAGGAACAACGGAAGGGAUAGAAGUUGGCACGCUUUUGCUCUUUUGCAUUAAUGGAGCAACC